rnacentral:rRNA from 1 species
ACAGAGGGUGCGAGCGUUAAUCGGAAUUACUGGGCGUAAAGGGCGCGUAGGCGGUUAUGUAAGUUAGAUGUGAAAUCCCCGGGCUUAACCUGGGAAUGGCAUUUAAUACUGUAUGACUAGAGUAGAGUAGAGGGAAGUGGAAUUUCCGGUGUAGCGGUGAAAUGCGUAGAUAUCGGAAAGAACACCAGUGGCGAAGGCGGCUUCCUGGACUCAUACUGACGUUGAGGCGCGAAAGCGUGGGUAGCAAACAGGAUUAGAUACCCUGGUAGUCCAUGCUGUAAACGAUGAAAACUAGAUGUUGGAGGGUUAAACUCUUCAGUAUCGAAGCUAACGCGAUAAGUUUUCCGCCUGGGGAGUACGGCCGCAAGGCUA